CUUCACCUUGGCACUUUAUUUUGCUGAGAAUAAAAUACACCAAUAAUUUCCACUUUCUUGAAAUAAUUUAUUGAAGCAAAUGAAAAGACUGAUAAGCCAGGAUGGUGAAAUGUUGUCUUUUUUUUUUUUUUUUUUCCAGAGGAGAAUAGGGACAGCUGCUCAAAAGAACUGCUUUGCAGGUGCCAACAGAGGGCACCUAAGGCUUUUCAAGUGAUGAGAACAAUACUGAGUGCCCUUUGGUUGUGGUCGGAAGUGUUGCUUUAGAUGCUUUUCAGCUGGAUGAAGAGGUUACUGCUCUCUGCAGCCUGCUUGUACGAUUGCAUGUUCUAUCACAUCCUAAACUUGCUCUGUGAAGACAUCACAGGAGUUCGAGCUGUGAUUCUAGCACGUUUUGAACUCAGUGAGGCUGGCCUAGUGCUAAACGGUAAACCUACAGUGAACGCAGAUUCUGAUGCUGACAUCUGA
rnacentral:lncRNA from 1 species